rnacentral:lncRNA from 1 species
ACUCACUAUUAUUUAUUUUUUUUGUAAUGAAAGCUUAUUUAUUUUUACAUACAUUUCAAAAUGGUACUAUUUGGGGGUCAUAAGUUGAAAGGCAGAAUGUUCUGUAUCUUUAAUAUAAAUAUAACAACUCAUUGGGAAAUGAUUAAUCAAAUUAUACUGUGAAACAAAUAAGAGUGAAGAUACUUAUGGGGAAACAGGCAAUGUAAUUCUAUGAAUACAUAUGAAAAGAGAAAAGAGUUAUAAAAGUAUACAGAAUGUAGUUAGAAUGAUACCAAACCUCCAAGAUUUCCACAGUUUAGGGGGAAAGAAAAAAAAGAUCAUUUACUACUCUUCUCCUCUGAGUGACUUCAAAUAGAAAGUGGUUUAUCAUAUACUCCAAAUUAAACUCUAAUAGGAAAAACAAUGCUUUGUGUGUAGUUUGACAUUUAUCAUGGGUAAUUAAAAUAACACAGAAAAUGAUUGAGACAUUAUUGCACACAUACAUAUCAACAAGCAUUCAGCCCUUUUACAAAGUAGAAACAGGCUGUGUAUAACUAUAUCUAUUGCUUUCACAAGCAGUACUAAGUAUAUAUAUAUAUAUAUAUAUUUUUCCUGAGAAUCCAAGCACAAUACCAUUUUUUUUGUUUCUCAGUUCAUAUAUUAACAGUAAGAAGCAUUUAUUUUCUGAAAAAAAAACGAUGUCUUUUAAAUGGCAAAAUUUAUUCAAGAAAAACUAUUUUCAAGGAUUUUCAUAAUUUUUUGCAAUUAAGGUUAUGGAUGAUUGCUCUGUAUAGUUUUGCAUUUUAAAAAAUCAUGAAUUUCACCCACAUAUAAUUACAAAUCCUCAAACACUUAACCCCAUUGAAAACUAGCCAUUCAUUUGGGAAAAAACCCCCACUAUUUUUACACAAAUAAAACUAUUAAAAAUCCAUGCAUCUUUUUUUUCUACAUGAAAGAUAUACCCUUGUCUAUCUUAUAUUGUCCUUUCAAAGGUGAAACAGCAUUCAGUUUACUGUGAAAUAUUUUCAAUACAUUUUACAUGAGAAUGUUCAGUCUUUGACAAUCAUAUGAAGAAUUUUAAAAAUUGAAAUGCAAUGCCUAAAAUAUAAAAGGAGUGCUGUGAAGUUAAGGUUGCAUUUAAACAUUCAAUGCAUGUGGGAAAAUAAAGCAUCUCAUUUCACUUCCCUGAUUUGUAAAUGCCUGAAUCAGGGCUAGAAUCCAUUAUAAAUGUCAUUAAGUUCUAGCAGUGUAACCCCAUGGAACACAGGUCUAGCUUUGCUUUAGGAAGUAAUAUUAACGAAAGUAUUGGGGACUGGAGGUAGAUCAUGUUUCCUGUCCCAAAACUAUGUUAGCCUAGUUCUUGAAGCCCUGGAUCUUCCCUAGUACAUAAAGAUGUUUUGGUGGGUUUUUUUUAUUAUUGUCUUCUAAAUAAGUAUGAAAGAUAAAAUAUUUCCACCACAGCAAGUACAUCUAAACUUUUUGUCUUAAAUGAAAUUUCUUGAGGGCUGAAUUAACAUAAGUUAUUUUCUAACUUAAGUAGUCAUCUAAACUUUUGGUUAUCUUAUUGAUUGGUUAAUAUCUGAAAAAUAGAUUUUGUACAUCAUAAUAAACUAAUAAAUAUUUAGUACACUGAAAAAAUAUAUAUCCAAUUAACUAAUUUUGUUAGAUCUCUGAAUUCUCCAAUGAUAUUUUUUUUCUCAGACAUGCUAUGGUACUUUUUGAGAUACUAAUAUGUUCCCAAUUUAAAUAUGAAAAUAAAGGAUUAAUAUUCUGGUUCUUGAAUUAGCAUUUAAUGUAAAAAUAUAAUUGUUUUCCUUUUUCUGUACAUGAAACCUGAAGUAUACUCUUCUUUAUGAGAAAAGCAAAUUUUUCUUCUACAAUACACUGGUGUUAUCAAUGCCCCUAGAAGAAACAGGCCUCUACCAAUGUGGGGGAUGGAGGAACUCUAUCAAGAGUACAUCAACAUCUAUUUUUUAAAAUAAAGAACAAGAAAAGGAACACAUCAUGUUUCAGUCUUUUCUUCCCCAAU